GGUUAAUAUGAUUUUAUUCAAUUUGAUGUCCUAAUGACCUGAUUAGGCAAAAUUGAUGCCAAAAUUGAAUUACCCACAUCUGAUUAACC